rnacentral:piRNA from 1 species
AGGAGAGAGGAUGGAACAGAGGG